CCACUUUCGCGCUCUUUCCAACACCUUUCUCAGUUAUUUUCGCCAUUGUGGGUUUACUUGUCCUCAGCACACUGAUUUGGCACUGCUGCAAUCGUCACACUUUUUCUGUUACAAACUGACCCGGCCCCUCAUCAGAGAAGGGAAAAGUCAUGUGGCCUUCACAGGAAAAGGAAUACAGAUCGAAAGAGUGCAGAGAUCACACUCGACGCCAUAACAACCUGGUGUGUUUAAGGUUGGUCAUUUAUGUGCCUAUAUUUUGAAAUUGUUGCCUUAAUUUUGUGUUCUUUUUCACCAUCCCCCAAUCAGGCUGAAGCAAAUGGUCAAAAGUCCACACAUACCUCAGUCUCAGCAAUUACAGGUCAACCAAAGCAGUAUUCUCUAAUGCAGUGGACUUGCAAGUACUGCACAUUUUCUGCUGAAAAGAGCCUACUUGCUUAAGCAUUACCGCUUAAAACAUGGAUACCACACUCGGACAUCCCUACUCCCAUGUCUUCAUAAGGACUGCCUCUGCACAUUUAAAUCUUUUAAUGCACUCAAAGUACACCUAUCGACAUGGCACUCUCAAAAAGAUGCAGGCAAAAGUGGAGAAACUGCAUUUGACCGUCAGUUGUGCAACUUUGUGGAGCCCUGCUCAGAAGCAGACUUCUUUACCCAUUUGCGAGGACAUCUUAAGCUGAGGCAAAUGGUUACUUGCCCAUAUCAAGACUAACUUUCAGAGCAGUAUUUAUUCGACCUUCACUGCACACAAAAGCAAAGAAAUGUGAAAUGUGUUUGAGCCAUAGUGUGGGUAGGACAUUUGUGUCUAAAUCAUUCAAUCCCAAUAAAAGUUGCUUUAAUAAAAAAAAACUUAUUUUUAAUCAAAGAAAAAGAACCUUUUGCAAAAAUAUAUUUUUUUGAAAAUAUAUAUAUUUUUAAAUAUAUAUUUUUUUUAUUGACGUGUCACUUUUUUUUUAAAGGAAAAAGUUUAAAACUUUUUUUUUAAAGUGGAAAAAGUUUUGAACGCAUUUCUUUUUUUCUUUUUGAAGUGGAAAAGGUUUUAA